rnacentral:rRNA from 1 species
CAGCAGCCGCGGUAAUACAGAGGGUGCGAGCGUUAAUCGGAUUUACUGGGCGUAAAGCGUGCGUAGGCGGCUAAUUGAGUCGGAUGUGAAAUCCCCGAGCUUAACUUGGGAAUUGCAUUCGAUACUGGUUAGCUAGAGUGUGGGAGAGGAUGGUAGAAUUCCAGGUGUAGCGGUGAAAUGCGUAGAGAUCUGGAGGAAUACCGAUGGCGAAGGCAGCCAUCUGGCCUAACACUGACGCUGAGGUACGAAAGCAUGGGGAGCAAACAGGAUUAGAUACCCCGGUAGUCCCUGUCUCUUAUAA